rnacentral:rRNA from 1 species
AUUGAACGCUGGCGGCAGGCCUAACACAUGCAAGUCGAGCGGAUGAGGGGAGCUUGCUCCUGGAUUCAGCGGCGGACGGGUGAGUAAUGCCUAUGAAUCUGCCUGGUAGUGGGGGAUAACGUCCGGAAACGGGCGCUAAUACCGCAUACGUCCUGAGGGAGAAAGUGGGGGAUCUUCGGACCUCACGCUAUCAGAUGAGCCUAGGUCGGAUUAGAUAGUUGGUGGGGUAAAGGCCUACCAAGGCGACGAUCCGUAACUGGUCUGAGAGGAUGAUCAGUCACACUAGAAGUGGGACACGGUCCAGACUCCUACGGGAGGGAGCAGACGGGAAUAUUGGACAGUGGGCGAAAGCAUGAUCCAGCCAGGCCGAGUGUGUGACGAAGGUCUUCGGAUUGUAAAGCACUUUAAGUUGGGAGAAAGGGCAGUAAGUUAAUACCUUGCUGUUUUGACGUUACCAACAGAAUAAGCACCGGCUAACUUCGUG